rnacentral:tRNA from 1 species
GAGAGAGGCUUAGAGCAAUGAGAACUGCUAAUUCCCACCCCCAUGGUUAAAAUCCUUGGCUCACUCAA